rnacentral:rRNA from 1 species
AAUAGAUACCCCGGUAGUCCUUGCCGUAAACGGUGUAUACUUGAUGUAGUUAGGCUCAACCCUAACUGUGUCGUAGCUAACGCGAUAAGUAUACCGCCUGGGGAGUACAGUCGCAAGGCUGAAACUCAAAAGAAUUGACGGGGGCCCGCACAAGCAGUGGAGCAUGUGGUUUAAUUCGAUGCAACGCGAAGAACCUUACCCAGAUUUGACAUACAGUGGACCGCUUCAGAAAUGAGGCUUUCCGUAAGGACCGCUGAACAGGUGCUGCAUGGCUGUCGUCAGCUCGUGCCGUGAGGUGUUGGGUUAAGUCCCGCAACGAGCGCAACCCUUAUUACUAGUUGCCAACAUGUUAUGGUGGGGACUCUAGUGAGACUGCCUGGGGUUAACCAGGAGGAAGGUGAGGAUGACGUCAAGUCCGCAUGGCCUUUAUAUCUGGGGCCACACACGUGCUACAAUGGUCGGCACAGAGGGCAGCAAGACCGCGAGGUGGAGCAAAUCCUAAAAACCGAUCUCAGUU